rnacentral:lncRNA from 1 species
UAGCUUGAAAUUAUUCAAGAAUUAUGGAUGCCCCAACCUCCCAAGAGAUGUCGUAUGUUGAUCAUAUCAAAAGGCGACACGAAGAGAAAGGCUUUCUCUAUGCAUGGUUUGUUUAACAGAUGUUAUGUAUUUUUACUGCAAUGGAAAAAUCAUUCAAAUGAUCAAUUCAUUUUAUUUUUUCUUUUUUGUAAAGAUUAAUAUUGUUACAUGUCUGAUACAGUUUGUUCGCACUGUGUUGCUGUUUUUGCUGCUAUGAGGCUUGUGAGUGCUGUCUGGAUAUUUGCUGCUGCAACUGUGGUUAAAUUCUUCACAGUAGUGAAAGAUCA